rnacentral:lncRNA from 8 species
UUCUCUCUCUUUCACUCUCUCUCUCUUCCUCUCUGUCUGUUUCUCUCUCUCUUCCUCUCUGUCUGUCUCUCUCUUCCUCUCUGUCUGUUUUUCUCUCUCUUCCUCUCUGUCUGUUUCUCUCUCUCUUCCUCUCUGUCUGUCUCUCUCUCUCUCUUCCUCUCUAUCUGUCUCUCUCUCUCUCUUCCUCUCUGUCUGUUUCUGUCUCUCUCUUCCUCUCUGUCUGUUUCUCUCUCUCUUCCUCUAUCUGUUUCUCUCUCUCUUCCUCUCUGUCUGUCUCUCUCUCUCUCUUCCUCUCUGUCUGUCUCUCUCUCUUCCUCUGUCUGUCUGUCUGUCUGUCUGUCUGUCUGUCUGUCUGUCUGUCUGUCUGUCUGUCUGUCUGUCUGUCUGUCUGUCUGUCUCUCUCUCUCUCUCUUCCUCUCUGUUUGUCUCUCUCUCUCUUCCUCUCUGUCUGUCUCUCUCUCUUCCUCUCUAUCUGUCUCUCUCUCUCUCUUCCUCUCUGUCUGUCUCUCUCUCUUCCUCUGUCUGUCUGUCUGUCUGUCUGUCUGUCUGUCUGUCUGUCUGUCUGUCUGUCUGUCUGUCUGUCUGUCUGUCUGUCUGUCUGUCUGUCUGUCUGUCUGUCUGUCUGUCUGUCUGUCUGUCUCUCUCUCUCUCUAUCUCUCUCUCUCUCUCUCUCUCUCUUCCUCUGUCUGUCUCUCUGUCUCUCUCCCUCUCUGUUUGUCUCUCUCUCUCUUCCUAUCUGUCUGUCUCUCUCUCUCUCUUCCUCUCUGUCUGUCUGUCUCUCUCUCUCUUCCUCUCUGUCUGUCUCUCUCUUCCUCUCUGUAUGUCUCUCUCUCUCUUCCUUUCUGUCUGUCUCUCUCUCUCUUCCUUUCUGUCUGUCUCUCUCUCUCCUCCGCUCUGUCUGUUUCUCUCUCUCUUCCUCUCUCUCUGUUUCUGUCUCUCUCUUCCUCUCUGUCUGUUUCUCUCUCUCUUCCUCUCUGUCUGUUUCUCUCUCUCUUCCUCUCUGUCUGUUUCUCUCUCUCUUCCUCUCUGUCUGUUUAUCUCUCUCUUCCUCUCUGUCUGUUUCUCUCUCUCUUCCUCUCUGUCUGUUUCUGUCUCUCUCUUCCUCUCUGUCUGUUUCUCUCUCUCUUCCUCUCUAUCUGUUUCUGUCUCUCUCUUCCUUUAUCUGUUUCUCUCUCUCUUCCUCUCUCUCUGUUUCUCUCUCUCUUCCUCUCUGUCUGUUUCUCUCUCUCUUCCUCUCUGUCUGUUUCUCUCUCUCUUCCUCUCUGUCUGUUUCUCUCUCUCUUCCUCUCUGUCUGUUUCUCUCUCUCUUCCUCUCUGUCUGUUUCUCUCUCUUCCUCUGUCUGUUUCUCUCUCUCUUCCUCUCUGUCUGUUUCUCUCUCUCUUCCACUAUCUGUUUCUCUCUCUCUUCCUCUCUGUCUUUUUCUUUCUCUCUUCUUCUCCAUCUGUUUCUCUCUCCCCCUAUUUAUCUCUUAUGAUUUCUCUCUGAUACACUGUAUAGGGAUCUGAUCAUGAUUGGUUGAUUGAUAUUGACACCUUAUAUGAUCUGAUCAUGAUGUAUUGUUGAUUGAUAUUGAUAUCUUAUGAUUUGAUCAUAAUUGAUUGAUAUUGACACCUUAUGAUAUGAUCAUGAUUGAUUGAUAUUGACACCUUGGGUUAUGAUCAUGAUGUAUUUAUUGAUUGAUUGACUGACUGCUUAUACUUGCUUAAAUCAUUUAGCCCUGUUAACUAAACAGCCUUAUACAGUUUCUAUUUUUAUUUUCUUGGUGUGUAAUGACAAUUUGAAGUUUUCACUUCAUCUUUGGAUGGUUUUCUCGACCAUAUUUUUCUAAAUGCUACACGAAGAUUCUUCUUAAAGCCUCACACAAAGCUGUUUCUUUAAAUAACAGUUAUCUAAAUGUCUGUAGUAAACUAAUCCGUUUGUUGGUUAGAUUGCCUUUUUGUGUUGCUUUUUUUUAAAAAUAAUGAUUUUUUUUGUAGCAACCCUUGGUGUCCAUGGAUACCGCUGGGAGACAAAAAGUAGAAACAUUGUGUAAAGGAUGACAAGAGAAGAAGAAGGAGAAGUGGAGGAGGAGCGACUCGCCAUUGGACAGUGUGCAUUCUGCAUAAACAGGAAACAGAGACUGGACUGACAGCGUGUUCUGUGGUUGUGUUGCGUUUCCGCUCGCGACACGACGGAGAGAGACGUGGUUAUCACAACGAUCUCUGAGAUUCUGGAGUCUUCUCCUUGGUCUGUCGGAAAUGAACAUGAAGCACAAUAAAAACCUAUUUCUUGCCCUGUUCUUCUUCUUUUCCUGUAGAACGAAUGGAGAAUGAAAAGGAGGGGAUUGUGGAGAGGGAGUAAAAGAGAUGAAUGAAGAAAGAGCGGGAGUGUGUGAUGACGUGUGU